AGCAGCCGCGGUAAUUCCAGCUCCAAUAGCGUAUAUUAAAGUUGUUGCAGUUAAAAAGCUCGUAGUUGAAUUUCGGGAUCAAAUUGUUGGUCGUGCUUCGGUACGCACUGGCAUUAUUGGUUCCUACCUUCUGAAGAACCGCGAUGUCAUUAAUUUGGUGUCGUGGGGAAUCAGGACUGUUACUUUGAAAAAAUUAGAGUGUUUAAAGCAGGCUUACGCUUGAAUACAUUAGCAUGGAAUAAUGAAAUAGGACGUUUGAUUCUAUUUUGUUGGUUUCUAAGAUCGACGUAAUGAUUAAUAGGGAUAGUUGGGGGCAUUAGUAUUCAAUUGUCAGAGGUGAAAUUCUUGGAUUUAUUGAAGACUAACUACUGCGAAAGCAUUUGCCAAGGAUGUUUUCAUUAAUCAAGAACGAAAGUUAGGGGAUCGAAGACGAUCAGAUACCGUCGUAGUCUUAACCAUAAACUAUGCCGACUAGGGAUCGGAUGAUGUUAAUUUUUUAAUGACUC
rnacentral:rRNA from 1 species